UUCUUCCUUCGUCUAGCACGCGCUUGUUGGGUACCUGCUGCGCGCGGGUCUUGGGCCUGCGGGCCAGGCUCCGGCCCAACCCUCGUGGAACCCUGACGGUUCUUGGAUGCGAGAAAGAGCAAAGACGUGUCUGCUGAGUGACUCGAAAGAAACGCGCCCGGUUCUCUGAGUGCCCGGGAGUCACGAUUUGGAUAAGGUGGCCCCGGCAGGAAGCGCCGUAACAGCCAGUGUCUGAAGGGGUGUGGGUAAUUCCUCCCGGAGACAGAGCGGCACUGAGCGGAAGGGAGAGGGAAAGGCUCCUCCUGGAGCCAAGGGGGUGGUGUGGGAUGGAGGCUGAAUGUCAGGGUUCCCAGAAGGAAGGGCCAGCCCGGAGCAAAAGAAAUUUUUGGCUAAACUUGGUGGGAGGGGGUCCCUGUCCGAGCGGGAGCACCUCUUUAAUUGACCCUGGCACAUCCCUCCUCUGAGGGAGUGGGCUUGACCUGCGGUUGGGAAGGACAUGUUUUAGGAGGCGUCCGCUGGAGCGGCUCUGACACCCCGCCCUUCUUUGGGUACCCUGAGCCUGUAAGUGGGCUGUCUCAGAUGGGAUCCGGGGCUUCCUGAACCUUCCUGUGCCUAGCCCCGUGGACAGCAUCAUCUUACGGAGUGACUGGCACACAAACCUGUCACCUCUGUAGAUUAACCAAAAAAUUAUCUCUGGCAUCUGAUGAAAUGGUGUGUUCCCCUCACUGACUCAGGGGCUUCCUUUCCCCACUGCAGUUGUCCACUGUGUGUGAGGCCUGGGGACGCACACACGAGGACUCAAGUGUGCGCGGAAAGGUUGGGGAGCAUGUGCAGUACUGGGGUCUCCCCGAGGGAAGGGGGCACAGGGAUCAGGCUGGUUUAGCUAAGACCAGGCUCUGGCAGCUAGGACAGAAUAGAAUGGAUAGGCUGAAGCAUUUGAAGGACAUUGUUGUGCCUGCCUGGGGUGAUGCGGGCAGCUGCAGUGGGAGCCCUGAAUCUGAUGGCGUAGGGGCCCCCUUUCUGCCAGCAGGACAGGUUGAUAUUUCUAAGUGGGGCUUGGAGUUCCCCCUGCAAAAGGCAGAUGGCAUCCCUGCCUUGCACAGCUAGCCUGCGUGUGGAGCCACGCUGUCCCGGGCUACCCCUCUGUGAGGACAGAUGGGUUUUCAGUUCAGCUCUUCUUGGAACAUGGGAGCUCUCAGACGAGGGAGAUGGAGGCAGUAGAGGUGGGCUCUUGUAUCUGAGAUGGGGGUGGGGGGAGCCAGGACCCCCCUCCUGCCUGGUCCUCCAGGGUCCCUGUGGGUGUAGUUGGUCCCAACACUGGCUUCACUGCCUCGGGGUGACGUUACCAGUGGGGGUGGCUCGCCGCCAUGUGCAGGCAGCCAGCCCAGGGCCUUCUGCAUGCUCCUGUGGGGCAGCUGUCCUUGUGUCUGCCACGCCCCCCGAGGGCCCCGGGGAUGUCCCUGUCAGUGACCGGACGCUGGUGCUCUCAUGCUUCUGCAUGUGAGGCUGAGUUCCUGCUGGAGGAAGGAGGCGGAUCUCCAGGGCUCUGGUGACUGGGCUGCAGGGCGACCAGGUCCAUGCCUGGCUGCCUCAGCUCCUGGGCUGCCACCUUUGUUGGAUUUGGGGCACGGCACGUGGUGUUUCUGGCCCGUUUUCCCGUGUGUGAUCGGGCUAAAGCCCUGUCCUUGCGUGCACACCGGGAGGACUGUCUUUGUUCAAGCCUGGUGUGAUGGCGGUGUCCUGUUCGAGCACAGGCCCUGGGGCUCGGUGGCUGCUGAGGCCCGUGGACCGGUCGUGGUUGUCUUGUGCCUUGUCCAGCAGCCUGAUUUAGUGGCAGCAUGACAGCAGGGCUGGGUAGGGAUCCGUGUACUGGGAGCACUGGGGUGCUGGCUGACCUCUCCCCAGGUGGGAACAGGUGGGAACAGGUGGGAGGGUGCUCAGAUGGUGUCCCCCGGGGCCUGCCUGGGCUCCAGAUAACGGCAACCCUCCAGAUAACGGAGCUGCUCAUUUCAAGUGCCGGCCGAGUGGCGCCGCCCCAAGGGGGUGGACUCCUUCGCCGUCUGGGAUGCGGGCGGUGGGUCUGCUGGGUGUUCGCCUUCGGUCCGCCCCACACACCCCUCCAUGGCACCUUCCCAAGCACCUUCUGCAAAGGCCUUCCAGCGUGCUGUGCUGCCCUUUCUGACUGCCUCUAACCUUGCUGCUUUCUCUUCAUGCCGUCCUAGGAGACCGAAGUGAAAGUAAGUACCCAGCUGGCCCUGCCGCAGCGUUCCCUUCGCCUCAGCCAGGGAGCCCCCAGUCCACGUGUCCCAGCACAUGGGGCCCGGCUGCCGGGCCUCCGUUCCCUUGUCUGCAGCACAGAGGUGCUGGAUUUGCCGUAGUUGGCUUUGAUCCUGUGGAGUAGGGCAGCAGCGGGGUGGACAUCUCGGUAACUUCCUCGGUGCUUCCCUGGACUGAGCCUGUUUCUGCCCCAGGGAGGGGGCAGCCCCUGAGCAGGCUGGGAGUGGCCUGCCGCCUCUCUGGGCUGAGCAUGGAGCUGCGGCCCCAGCCGGCCCCUGGUACAGGCCCCAUCCCUCAUUCUCCUGAGACGUCUUAAGCAGCUUCCCCUCCCUGAGGUGCAGCGGCCCCAGAGCUGUGAGCAGAGCCUGGUGAGAUGACAGGAGUCAAGGACAGCACUUAGGCCAAUGGGGUCUGGCAGGGCUUCAACCCUGGGGGUCAGCCUAGUGGGUGCAGCUGAAGGGGCCCAACCAACCCAGCUCUGGGCUGCUCUGGUGAGGGUCUGCCAGGGGCUGGGUGCCAGAAAGACUGAAGGGCAGACACGCCCUGCCCGAUUGGCCUGCCGUCCCCUCAGGGACAGUGGGUGAUGUCACAAUGCCUUGCCUCCUGGGCACACGCCCCUGCCUCCCACCGCCGCCUCUGCUGCCAGCCUGGCCUUGGUAAGCACCACUGCCGGCCGGGGGGAAGGCACAAGGGGGUGGCCCGGGGCUCUCUGCAAGCCUGAGCCAUCAGAGGCCCCCAGCAUGUCCCCUCACGGUACACGGGGCUUUUCUCCCAAAUCCUGGUGCACAGCUGAUGUGGCCCACUGGGUAAUGAGCAGCAGGUUUCAGUUUUGAUUGGGCUGUCAGGAAAGGGAUGCUGAUCCUGCACAAGUGGUGGGAGGGUUUGCUGUCCUCCCGGUGGAGACCUUGUCUCCUGGGGAUGAGGGCCCAGCCGGUGGCUGCCCUCACAUAGGCUACACUGCAUGACCCCACAGAAGCGGGGGACGGCGGGGAUGACCCGAGGGGACCCUGCUCAGCCCCCUGGCAAGUUAGCUUCUGGGUGUUGGGCAGUCGGUGUGGACACUUCUGCUUUGGGGGAGCAGGGCCCGGAGUCGGAUCUGUGGCUGGAAGGGAUCUCUCUGCUGCUGACAGCCGUUCCCCUAGAAGCCAGCUGAGUGUGAGCUCAGACCACUAGGUACGCCCUAAGAGCAGACUGGCUUCUGGGCCUUUCUGGGCUUGAGCCGCUCCCGGCCAGAGGCUGCGGUGGUGGCAGCGGCCCUGACCCCUCAGUUCAGAUGACCGAGGUCUCCAAGCUGGAGAGAACACCACCUCUAGCUAAGAAGCUGGGGGCUUGUCCACCGUAGCAGAUGGGACACAGAGCCCCCAACCUGUCUUCCACCACAAUCCUGGUGAUGGGGCCCCUUACGUCAGAUGGCACUGAAAGGCGGGAAGGGCGUCCUAACACCCUAGGGCCCAGAGAGUCUCAGGUGGCCCCCUCUAGCUGUAGGUAUGGCCAGAGCUGUGAGCUGAUGGGGAGCCUGGUUCUUCCCCGAUGUGGCCCUGCAAAGGCAGGCCCUCCACCCACUGCUCCCAGCUGCCCCCUGAGAGGCUGUCCCUCAUCUGAGACCCUUGGCAGCUCCCCUUGGAGCGUGUGCUGCUUUGGAUGGUGGUGUGGCCCGUGGUGGG